GAUACACCUGUUCCCAUGCCGAACACAGAAGUUAAGCUUCUUAGCGCCGAUUGUAGUGAAGGGUUUCCCUUUGUGAGAGUAGGACGUCGCCACGC
rnacentral:rRNA from 2 species